rnacentral:rRNA from 1 species
UCAGGAUGAACGCUGGCGGCGUGCUUAACACAUGCAAGUCGAACGAGGUGCUUUCGGAUGAAGUUUCGGAUGGAUUCUGAUUGCACUGAGUGGCGGACGGGUGAGUAACGCGUGGGGAACCUGCCCCAUUCCGGAGGAUACCAGUUGGAAACGACUGUUAAUACCGCAUAAGCGCACGGGAGCGCAUGAUCCUGUGUGAAAAAACUCCGGUGGAAUGGGAUGGCCCCCGCGUCUGAUUAGCCAGUUGGUGAGGUAACGGCCCACCAAAGCGACGAUCAGUAGCCGGCCUGAGAGGGCGACCGGCCACAUUGGGACUGAGACACGGCCCAAACUCCUACGGGAGGCAGCAGUGGGGAAUAUUGCACAAUGGAGGAAACUCUGAUGCAGCCGACGCCGCGUGAGUGAAGGAGUAUUUCGGUAUGUAAAGCUCUAUCGGCAGGGGAGAAGAUGACGGUACCUGCAGAAGAAGCCCCGGCUAACUACGUGCCAGCAGCAGC